rnacentral:rRNA from 1 species
UACGUAGGGUGCAAGCGUUUGUCCGGAAUUAUUGGGCGUAAAGAGCUCGUAGGCGGCUUGUCGCGUCGGCUGUGAAAGCCCCGGGCUCAACCUGGGAAUGGCAAUGGAUACUGGCAAGCUAGAGUGCGGUAGAGGGUAGUGGAAUUCCCGGUGUAGCGGUGAAAUGCGUAGAGAUCGGGAGGAACACCAGUGGCGAAGGCGGCUACCUGGACCAGCACUGACACUGAGGCACGAAAGCGUGGGGAGCAAACAGG